AUUUUGUCAAAUAUGUUUCAUUUCAUCGAGUAAUGUCGAAAAAUGGCAUUGGCUCAAAAGUUUAUGCCAUGAAUUACU